UCAAGAUAUUUCAUUUGAAGUAUUAAAAGAAAUAACAAAUUAGGGGAUAGGGGUUCAGUUUCAGGUGUGAGUGGAAAUGAAAAGGCAGAUGAGUUGGCAUUGAGAGCUCUAAGAAAAGAAAACAUAGAUAUGCAUGUUAAUGAGUAAUGCAGAGAUGACAUGUGAAAAGUGUUGGAGGAUGGCAAGGGAGGUGGGAUAGAGAAGGCAAAGGAAGACAUGAUAGGAAAUAUACCAGUGUGUGGAUGUUGAAAGGGUCAGAAGUGCAGUAAGGAGUGAAGAAUAUACUGACACGAUUAAGAAGGUGGCGGUAAAUGCACCGUAAAGCUGGAUGCCAACCGCCAUAAAACACGAAGAAGAAAGUACCUUUUGGGCAAAUCCUGUGGAAAGUUUGCGUGCUACACCAGCAGCUGAUUACCUGCAUGACAGCGCACGGCGCUACAUGUCCACCGUCCAUUCAUGUCUUCUAGAUUAAGAUCAGUAAAUGUACAUGAGGCACCGAUUCCAACAAGACAUGUCUGCUUAUCAACACCAAGAUGUCCCCUUUAUGGUGAAAAAUAACUUCAUUCCACAAAAUCCUAUCUUCCUGAAAUGUUUUGGGAAGGACGUGACAUGGCUGCCAACUCGCAUGAACCCUGAGAUGUAGCCUGGCCUGGAUGUAUCCUCUGGUUUCCUGGAAGGCUUGUCUCUGAGAAACCUCAGCAGGGUAGUGGGUGCAGAUUCCAAUGAUGUUGGUGCACAGGAAAAUAAGGACAUUUGCACUCACCUGUAGAAAGAGA